rnacentral:lncRNA from 1 species
UUUUUACUUUUGCAAAAGCAAAUAUUGUAUUUUUUCAGUGACUUUAUCCAUCUAGAGAGGCUUCCCCAAACCACUAGCUCUAGCAAUAUAGCUCAGUCCUUCUUUUUUAAUGUACUCCUUAGGAACUCCCCACAGUUUUCUAAAAUUGGGAUUUUUCUUUUUUCCCAUUUUUUCAACUGAAAUUUUGGCUGCCAUUGUCUCAACAGUAAUGGUAUGUUAGCAAUGUGCCAAGGGUCCACCUUCUAAUACCC